GACGAACCGUACGAACGUUAUUCGGAAUCACUGGGCUUAAAGAGUUCGUAGGCGGCCAUGCAGGUGAGAUGUGAAAUCCCUCGUCUCAACCGAGGAAUUGCGUUUCAAACCGCAUGGCUAGAGGAAGAUAGGGGUGAGCGGAACUGAUGGUGGAGCGGUGAAAUGCGUUGAUAUCAUCAGGAACACCAGAGGCGAAGGCGGCUCACUGGGUCUUUUCUGACGCUGAGGAACGAAAGCUAGGGGAGCAAACGGG
rnacentral:rRNA from 1 species